CAAAAUCAAAAUUGUACUUUUUUACUCACUGGCUUUUUUCUCUCUUUUUUCUUGUUUAAUUCUCACAGAAAUAGGGUUAAGAUACAAGAGAAGCUCUUCCAUCUUAAAUAACUUCCCACUGAAAGAUUACCACAAUAAAGAGAAUUAAACAUGUUAAAAUUAUAGUCUUGCUUACAACUACGUGAAAAGGCAGGUCUGUACUCCAUUUUGUUUCUUCAGUUCCCAUAAAAGCAACAUUGAAAAUAUGUUGCUUGAGUUUUUUGCCUGAGCAAUUGGUUUCUUUAGUCAGCCUGGAAUGUCGGGAGAGUUCCCAUCUGUUCAAUAAAUGUCUUAAGCCUCUGCAGUUAUUUGACCUUAACUAGUCUGUG